UACAGAGGUCUCAAGCGUUGUUCGGAUUCAUUGGGCGUAAAGGGUGCGUAGGCGGCGCGGUAAGUCGGGUGUGAAAUCUCGGGCUUAACUCCGAAACUGCAUUCGAUACUGCCGUGCUUGAGGACUGGAGAGGAGACUGGAAUUUACGGUGUAGCGGUGAAAUGCGUAGAUAUCGUAAGGAAGACCAGUGGCGAAGGCGGGGUCUCUGGACAGUUCCUGACGCUGAGGCACGAAGGCCAGGGGGAGCAAAACGGGG
rnacentral:rRNA from 1 species